CUAAUUUAAUCUACACUCACCGGCACGAAAAACGGGCACCCCAAAAAAAUGGGUAAUUUUUGAUGUCUCGUAUCUCCCAAACCUUUGGUCCGAUUUAAGUAAUUUUUUUAAUAUGUUAUAGCCUUAUUAUUUAACAAUAUAGCUAUGAUAACAUUGUUGAUAGACAGGUAAAUUUUCAUUGUAUACCGGGUGUACCAAUCAAACUGGGUUUUUUUCUCAAUUUUCACAACACCCUGUGGAAUAUUCUAGCCUUUAUAAAAUGUUUAAAUUAAAGCCUAACUAUAGCUCCAGGUUUUAUUAACAUUCUGUUUUUUUAUUCAUUCGCUUACGUUGGAUAAUAAAAAAGUUAAGGACUUUAACAACUAGCCAUGUUCUUUAUCGAUACAGGUGUUUCCAAAUAUAAGUGCGACAAACUUUAAGGGGUAAUU